rnacentral:rRNA from 1 species
GAUGAACGCUGGCGGCGUGCCUAAUACAUGCAAGUCGAGCGAACAGAUAAGGAGCUUGCUCCUUUGACGUUAGCGGCGGACGGGUGAGUAACACGUGGGUAACCUACCUAUAAGACUGGGAUAACUUCGGGAAACCGGAGCUAAUACCGGAUAAUAUUUCGAAACGCAUGGUUCGAUAGUGAAAGAUGGUUUUGCUAUCACUUAUAGAUGGACCCGCGUCGUAUUAGUUAGUUGGUAAGGAAACGGCUUACCAAGGCGAGGAUACGUAGCCGACCUGAGAGGGGGAUCGGCCACACGGGAACUGAGACACGGUCCAGACUCCUACGGGAGGCAGCAGUGGGGAAUCUUGCGCAAGGGGCGAAAGCCUGACGGAGCAACGCCGCGUGAGUGAUGAAGGUCUUCGGAUCGUAAAACUCUGUUAUUAGGGAAGAACAUACGUGUAAGUAACUGUGCACGUCUUGACGGUACCUAAUCAGAAAGCCACGGCUAACUACGUG